AGAACGAACGCUGGCGGCAUGCCUAACACAUGCAAGUCGAACGCUCUUGGGGCUUCGGUCUCAGGGGAGUGGCGCACGGGUGAGUAGCGCGUGGGAACCUGCCCUGUUGUGGGGGAUAACCGAGGGAAACUUCGGCUAAUACCGCAUAAGCCGGUUGUCUUGAAGGAGAUGGCCGGGAAAGAUUUAUCGCGACAGGAGGGGCCCGCGUCGGAUUAGCUAGUUGGUGGGGUAACGGCCCACCAAGGCGGUGAUCCGUAGCUGGUCUGAGAGGAUGAUCAGCCACACUGGGACUGAGACACGGCCCAGACUCCUACGGGAGGCAGCAGUGGGGAAUAUUGGACAAUGGGCGCAAGCCUGAUCCAGCAAUGCCGCGUGAGUUAUGAAGGCCUUAGGGUUGUAAAGCUCUUUCGCCCGCGACGAUGAUGACGGUAGCGGGAGAAGAAGCCCCGGCUAACUUCGUGCCAGCAGCCGC
rnacentral:rRNA from 1 species